rnacentral:misc_RNA from 1 species
ACCAGAGUUGCUCUAAAGCUCCACAAUCCUUCAUGCUCUAUACAAUCACUUUCGCUGCAACUAAAAUCUCUCUAAAUCUCUUCAACAUUUAUUAACAGCUCACCAUAUCCAUAAUCCAAAUAAAUAUGAAGAGAAUCCACCCCCAAUCCUAUCCAUUACCUUCCUUGUUUGCCUUCUCACCAUCCCUCUUGUGCUUCAAAUGGUGAUCAAGCAAGAUACAAGAACCCCAAAUAUAAUCAAAUUGGCUUUGCAAUGUUUUUGGGCUGUGGGUAGUGGCAGGAUGAGAAGGAAAAUCCUCUAAAGAAUCAGUAGUAGUAGAAAGGUGGUGGCGGUGGGGAUGCAUAUGAUACUCCAACUAUUGGGGGUAGUGGCUCGACAUAUACCGGUGAGGGGGGUGGUGGAGGAGACUGCAAUGGUGGGGGUGGUGACGAAGGUGGAGGAGGAGAUUCGUAGUGGUACGGUGGAGAGGCUGGCGGUGAAGGUGGCGGAGGUGGUGGAGACACAUAGUGAUAUGACGGCGACGGUGGUGGUGAUGAGUUAUAUACCGGAGAAGGCGGGGGAGGUGAUUGUGUCAUGGGAGGUUCAAUGUAUGGAGGUGGCUCAAUGCAUGGCGGCGGGGGUGGAGGAGAG